rnacentral:rRNA from 1 species
UACGGAGGGAGCAAGCGUUACUCGGAAUUAUUGGGCGUAAAGGGCGCGUAGGCGAUUUGACAAGUCACCUGUGAAAUCCCAGGGCCUAACCCUGGAAGUGCAGGUGAUACUGUUGAAUUUGAGUUCCGGAGAGGAAGGCAGAAUUCCCGGUGUAGCGGUGAAAUGCGUAGAUAUCGGGAGGAAUACCAGUGGCGAAGGCGGCCUUCUGGACGGAUACUGACGCUGAGGCGCGAAAGCCAGGGGAGCAAACGGG